rnacentral:misc_RNA from 1 species
UUUUCGCGGAGGAUGUCGAGUGCGAGGAAACGUGGACAGAAUUCUGUGUUUGUUACCGUGGGAACGACGCAAUUCGAGAAGCUGACUGACUACGUCUGUAGUUCUGCCGUUCUCAAAACCCUAGCUAAUCUAGGAUACAGGAAGGUGGUUGUCCAGAUAGGGCGUGGACGAGAUCCUUUGAUUGAUACAGUGCCAGGGAUAGAGGUAGAGGUUUACAGACUGAAACCAAGCAUCACCGAGGACAUUAGACAGGCCAGUCUUGUCAUAAGUCACGCUGGUGCAGGGAGCUGUUUGGAGACCCUCGCGGCCAACAAGCCACUCCUUGUGGUCAUCAACGACGAUUUGAUGAACAACCAUCAACUGGAACUUGCCUAUCAGCUCAAUAAAGACGGACAUUUGUUCUACUGCACAGUGAGUACCCUGGUGGACACCCUUCACUCUGUGGAUUUCUCCUCACUGAAGCCAUUCCCUCCCGGUCAGCCACACAAGUUUGGUCAGUUUAUGGAUCGUCUGUUCAACAUCAAUAACUAGCAACACAGCAUCAUGACCCUGUCUUUGAGGUAUCUUUGUGUGGUGGAGAGACGAAUCAUUUCCUCCAUUUAUACACAACACCAAACUGUCAGGAGAAACCACUGCAGCCAAGCAGUCAGAGAUAGUAAAUAUAAAUUGUUUGGUCACCAAAGAGUUGUGAACAGUGUUUGUCACUCUAAGGCUAUGGUGAGGAAUACAAAAAAUAUUUUGGAUCUUCUUCGAAAAUCAUUUACAACAGAUGUAAGGCUGCAUUGUAAAGCAGGGAAAUCAGGAAUCCCACAUAGUGGGGAAACCACAGGAACCACCCAGGGGUGGGGAAAUCACAGGAACCACCCAGGGUGGAGCCACCCAGGGAGGGGAAAGUCAAACUGAGCCAAAUAGGGAGGUGGUCUCUACGGACGAUCAGGACAGAGAGGUGGGACGUCCUAAGCUCGAGUACAAAUGUAUCUAUUUCUUUCCUCCCAUUAACAUCAUAAGAAUCGUGCAGAGAUUUCAAUUGUUGGUGUAUUCCACUCUGUUUCCAACGGCGGUGGCUUACCUCUGUACGGUUCCCGCUCCAUCGUACAUGAUGAUGGGCUUCGUGGUGACUAACGUGAUGUUGAUGCCGCUGGUUUUCUACAUGAUGCCGCGCAUGAUAGGAAGCAUGUUCGUGGGAGGGGUGGGUGAUGUUGUAGACACUCUCCAAGUGUCACGGCUGUCUUUCUUUGGAAACAGGAAGGAUUCGUUUUAUAAGAUAGAGAAUGUGAAGCCUCUGUCAGAAGUUUCUCAUGUAAAUUUAGUGUACUCAAAGUUUGAACUUUAUAACAAGAAAGAAAAACUCUAUUUAUUUCAUUCUUACUCUCAAGUACUUGAUAAGGAACUGUAUGAAAUUAUAUUUGGUAGAAUGAAUGAAUAAAAUAGUUGGAUAAACCC